rnacentral:lncRNA from 1 species
UGGGAGAAAAACCCAGGACCCCGGAGCCUACGCCGUAUCCAAUUGAAUCCAACCUCCAACCGAGGCGAUGGCGGGGGCGGGGAGCCCCCCCGAAGGCAGACACUAAGGAGACAAAAAAAUGCAAGUGGCUUAAGAGCGAGGAUUUGUUUUUCCGAAUCUACCCCCCCAACAAACCGGUCAGCCAAGAAGCCAAGAAAGCGCUGAGACGAGAAGCGGCGGCGGCUGCUAAGGCAGAUUGGUUGGGGCGGUGGGUUUAUUACGGGAGUGUUCGUGGUCGGCUCGGAAGGCUCAAGCUUAUGCUUUCUCUUUCCGCUCUCCUCCCGCCUCCUCCUCCCGUUCCCCCCGCCCCGCAGGUACUGAUGGACGGACGGCGACUAAGGAGAGGGGAAAAAAUCCUUGGCUGGUGAUGUCGGAAAGCUGUUUGAAUGCCCAGCGAGGAGGGAGGCGCGGGAGGGCGCGAGAUAGUAAAGCUCUGUAUUGGGUGUGCGCGCGGCGCUCGGUCUCCUCGGGCGCGUGAGGGAGGGGGAGCGCGGUCCCGAGGCGCGCUCCGGGCCCCGCGUGCUCGUGGACGCGCGCGUCCAGCGCGGUGCGCCCGGCGGCCGCCCGGGGCUCCACGCGCGCAGCGCGGCCGCGGCGCCUCCAGGAGCUCAGCCUGGCGCGGGCGCGGGCGGGGCGCUGAGAGAGCGGCGGCGCUAGGCGGGAGGACGCGCGGGAGGCAGAGGGGCUGGGAGAGCUUAGCCCGGGCCACCGAGCGCCAGCACGUCACGACUGCUCCAAACCCUGCACGUCCCGGGAGCUGCGCUUUCUGCGUCUGGGAGCGCCGACCUGUCGCAACCCAAGAGCUGUCAUUUCCGCACCGGGAUUCGGAGGGAUGGAUCGCCCGCCACGAAGGGGGCUGGUCUCGGUCCCCGAACUGCUCUGUCCCCGGGUGGAACAAUGCUAGUUUUUCUCUGCUAGGCUGCAAUUAA